AAUGGGGAUGUUGGUAACUCAAGAUCCUAUGGUGAUCCAGUUGCCUCUGCUUUAAACAGUACAAAUUUCAAUAUCGAGGAAGAAAAGGACAAUGAUUUCAAGCGCACCUCAAGACCAAAAAAUAGGUUGUAAGGAUGCCACAAAAAUGAUGCUUGUUGUUAAGGAGAUAUUCACAUGCCAAAUUCAG